GACCCCACGCCCCCUCCUCGCCCUUCUUCCCCUCCCACGGAGCCCUCGGAGCACGAAUACAUCAACGUCCUGCCGGGGACACCGAGUGCUGAGGACGUCCUGUACUCCACCGUCACCAUCAGAGAGCACAGAGGGGGUGUGGCCCCAUGUGGUCACUCAGCCCCCCAAGAGGCUGCUGUCACCUACACAGCACUGCCCGCUGCCUGCAGUGCCACCAACCUCCGGGGGAUGCAGCAUCCCCUAAGUGACAGUUAUGAGAACUUCCUCUGCAAAUAAAUGGCAGUCAUUCGUUGCCCCAAAUGUCU
rnacentral:lncRNA from 1 species